CCGAUCUGAUAGGGGGGCGGGUCUAGUCCGGGGUGAUGACCUCUCACCCAGAUUCCGAGCCCGGGGUGGGGGGUGCGGAAUCUCGUGAACCUCUUCCCGGACCCAUCAAAAAACCGCCUUUCACCUGUACCGAAUAAACAGCGAAUUGCUGAAGCUCGGCUAGUCUGGUGGUCCGCCUGCGGAGACCGACAUCGACAAAGAGAGUUAACGUCUGUGAGUCCACGGACCUGUGCGAUGCCAGCGCCCAUGAGGCCGCCGCCGAUCACUGUUAUGUGUUUGAUGGCCGCGCUCUGGGAGGAGGACAUGGAGCGGAGAAACUGGUGGCUGACGAACGCCAUGAUUUGCCCGCUGAUUGGAGUUGCGGCUGCCGCUUGUCAGUGAGGAGAACAAUUCACAAGAAAUACAGAAGUAAAGGGCAACAUUGAGGAAAUGGCUGAUUGGCCGGAUGCUGCACGGGAAAGACUGAGGAUCACUGGGGCUCGUGCCGUCUUCUCACAACUUUUGAGUCCGAGAAUAUCUCCAACACGAUGACUUCAGACAGUUUGGAAGCCAAGAAAGUGGCCACACGUAGGAGCAGGGAACUGAAGCAUGAACAUUCUUCUCAAAGAACAGGAACACCUGGAACCACCAGGCCUGGGAGAAUUGAUUAGUCUGAGAGGGGGUUUUCAAUGUCUAUUGAGGAAAAAUGAGAAUUUAUAUUAAAAAGUCUUACACUAUGCUUACUUGCUCAAACACAAACAGUACAAUGGUCCAGAGAUUUGGAACCUAAUAGAAAACUACCUAAAAUCAGGGUUAUGUCACCCAACAUGAGUACUCUGUACAGCUAAAUCUAAAAGACAAUGCUCACAAAAUGAAUAUCUGCUGAUAUUUCAUAAUAUAGAAAAACAGGAUCACCAAAAUUUUAAGGAUUUGACUGGAGGGAUAUCACAAGCAUGUUCUCCCUGACUGGAAAGUCUAGAAUUUAGGGGUCAGACAUUUAGGAACAGGAUGAGGAGCAAUUACUAUUAUCAUUAAGUAUACAGUUGGGACUGUGCUGUCCCUUUGAGUGGAUCAGUUGACUCACAGUGGGAGCUUUGAUUCAGUCUAGGUUUGACUGUGAAGCUAUAAAGAUGUGGAAUAAAUAAUUCUGCUUCAAGUGCUACCAGCAUCUCAUUGUCUAUUUAUACAGUAUAAAUAGAUCUCAACAUAACUACCCCAUCCCUGAAUAAGUUUUAAAAAUUCUUUCAUGCAAUAAAACAUUCCAAGGGGAUCUUAAAAUGUUGUCAAUCUUCAGGAAGGAGAAAUUAUGUCUGACAAAUUUGUUAGUAUUCCUUGAGGUAACAAACAGGAUAACAAAGUAAUAUUUUUGGAUUUCCAUAAAGGUAUUCAAUAAAGUACAGUACAUUUGGCUAAAUAACAAGAGAGGAACCCAUGGUGUUAGGGGUAUAUUAACAUGGAUAGAGAAUUGGCCAAAUGAUAGGAGACCGAGAGGUGGGAUGAGGGAAACAUUUUCAGGACGGCAACUUGUAACUAGUGGAGGGCCACAGAGCUCAGUGCUGGGGGCCACAGUUAGUUAACAAUGUACAUUGACAACUUGAAUGAGGAAAUUGAUUGUGCUAUUGCCAAGUUUGUAGUUGACAAAAAGUAGGAAUAUAAGUAAGUGAGGAUGACAAAGUUUACAGGAAGGAUAUUGGCAAGUUAAGUAAUUGGAGAAAAAAAGUUACAGAUGGAAAUGAUGUGGAAAAAUUUAAGGUUCUGGACUUUGACUGAUGAGUAGAGGAUCCAAUUAUUAUUGAAACAGAGAAAGACUGCAGAAAGGGAUGCAAUAUUUUGUGAUGCAUGAACAAAAAGGGUAAUAGGGAAGGUAAAUGGAGUAGUGGGUUUUAUUUCAAAAAGAGUACUUUAAUUCCUGCUACCAAGCAUGAGCAGUUAGGCAUGUACAGGCAGCACCCACACUUUCUCCAUCUUUGGUGUAUUGGUCUUCCCAAACAGCACAUUGCGGUUCUGAUUUAUGCCUGUUCUAUCCUGUCCUCCACUCCGAGUGUGGACAACCUCACUCAAUCUCUCGCUCAUCACCUCUUCCCCCUCCCCCAUUUGACCUUUGUCCAGUGCUUGCUGCCUCUUGUUUGGCAUUUCUUUCCUGGUGCUCAUAAGACCAAAGUUUCACCUAAAAAAGGUUAGAUAAAGAGCAAAACACCACAUUUCCAUUUAAAUGUAAAAGCAGCAACCAGUCUGAUCCCAUUAGGUCAGAAAAAUAUGUUAUUUUCAUAGAUGUUUCAAGAAACAGCUCUGACAGAAAAAUCUCGUAAGGCCUUGCAACAACUGAUACUCUGACUUAACUAUACCAUUGAUCGAAACAGGCAGUUUUUUUUUGUAAGGAGGCAGCACAGUAAGUGUUUGCAGUUUUUCUGGCUGAGUCUGGUCUGCAUUAUCACCGGCAGUGACCCGAGAAAGGCAGGGAAGAGUAAGUCACUAAAUGCAACUAUUUAGCCACACCCACAAGGCCAGAAUUGGUGUCAUGUAGAGGUCUUAGGAUAUGAGCUAUAUAAAGCUGGAACAGAUCAUUGUGAUGGGAGAGGCAAGGCCAGAGACAGAUAGGAAUUAAGUUUAAAUUGAACAUCUUUGAAGUUUGUUAAUCUGUUAAAUUCUCUAUCCUAGGCAGUUGAACAUUAAAGAGAACCAAUCCUUACGGAAAUAGUAUAGGACAGUGGAUUUGAGAUAGAAAAUCAGGUACAAUCUUAUUGAGUGACAGAAGGCUGAGUGGCCUACUCCAUUACUGUUUCUUUUGAGAUUGGAUGGUCUCAUAUGAAAGGUGGUUAAUGGGUUUUCCUCUCCAUGCACAAUGAAAAACUCACCGGAAUGUUGGCCAUUGUGUGGUACCACCAGAAAAGCCUUGUUGUAAUGUAAUAGGCCACUAAAACAUCCACACUGUAAUGUUCAUGGGCUAUGAGGAUACACACAAUGCCACCUGCACUGAGUAGCCAGCAGACCCAAGGAUACCACCAAAACUGUCGCGGUGAAUCUGUGGACAAUAAACCCAAGGAUAUUAAAUCCUGCUGUAAAAUUUAACAGUUUCAACUUUAAUGUCUAGUUGGUUACCUGUCCCCGCUGGAUUUUGCAUCGUAAAUUUACUAACCUGAUUUCCAUUCCAGUGUCAUUUAGCAGUUGAGGUGAAGCAGGUACCAUCCACUCUGCUCAAUUACCAAAUAGGCAACAAAAGGUCAAAAAUGUACCUCACAGUAUCUAUGUUAGACAUUUCAUAAUGAUAAUUAUCAAAUUAAAUGCAUGCUGUCUUCAUUGUAAUAAAAUUUAAUUCUGCACAAACUUAUCUGCAGCACUGGCUUCUCAGGUCAUGGAAAGCAAUUAUGACCUAAUCUGCCUCUUAGAAAACAAAAGGAUAUCAUGAAAAAGCUGGUUUUACAGCCAACUGAUGUUACUCUUAUGGUUAAUUGUACAGAAAAUAAGUUAAACUUGGAUAUAAAAGGUGUUCAACCUCAUCCUGUAUGUUUUCUGCUGGUAAGUUGGGAUAAAAUGAAUCCCUUUUAUGUCAAUGUUAUCCCAUCAUAUUUUCUAUAAAUAUAACUGAAAUUGACACCGACUAUAUAAAUUAUACAGUAAAGAAAUUCAGACCAUACUCUUCCUAUCAACAGUGCCACUAUUGUAACUACAGCAUGAUAACUGUACAUUUUAACAUUAAACCUUGGAACACAGGAAUUUAUAAUGGAUGCAAAAUUAAGACCAGAACAGUCAAUUUUGUGAAAGUGGACUGAUUAACAUCUGCAGAUCUUGUGUCAGUUAUUAACUGGAUUUUGUAGAUUAUACAUGAGAGAGAGACCAUUCAGCUCAACCA